rnacentral:rRNA from 1 species
GACAGAGGGGGCAAGCGUUGUCCGGAAUUACUGGGCGUACAGCGCACGCAGGUGGCGUGGCAAGUGUGGUGUGAAAGCCCCGCGCUUAACGCGGGGAGGCCAGCACAGACUGCCAAGCUGGAGGGAUGCAGAGGGUGGUGGAAUUGCCGGUGUAGUGGUGAAAUGCGUAGAGAUCGGCAGGAACACCAAGGACGAAGGUAGCCACCUGGGCAUCACCUGACACUCAUGUGCGACAGCGUGGGGAG